rnacentral:rRNA from 1 species
CCUGGCUCAUCUUUCCCGCUGGCGGCAUGCUUUACACAUGCAAGUCGGACGGCAGCACAGAUAAGCUUGCUUCUUGGGUGGCGAGUGGCGAACGGGUGAGUAACAUAUCGGAACGUACCGGGCAGUGGGGGCUAACUAAUCGAAAGAUUAGCUAAUACCGGAUAUCUUCUGAGGAAGAAAGCAGGGGACCAUUUGGCCUUGCGCUGUUUGAGCGGCCGAUAUCUGAUUAGCUAGUUGGUGGGGUAAAGGCCUACCAAGGCGACGAUCAGUAGCGGGUCUGAGAGGAUGAUCCGCCACACUGGGACUGAGACACGGCCCAGACUCCUACGG